rnacentral:rRNA from 1 species
AGUGAACGCUGGCGGCAGGCCUAACACAUGCAAGUCGAGCGGCAGCGCGUCCGACCACCCUCGGGUGGUCGGAUGGCGGCGAGCGGCGGACGGGUGAGGAAUGCAUCGGAAUCUGCCUCGUUGUGGGGGAUAACGUAGGGAAACUUACGCUAAUACCGCAUACGACCUACGGGUGAAAGUGGGGGACCUUCGGGCCUCACGCGAUGAGAUGAGCCGAUGCCGGAUUAGCUAGUUGGCGGGGUAAGGCCCACCAAGGCGACGAUCCGUAGCUGGUCUGAGAGGAUGAUCAGCCACACUGGAACUGAGACACGGUCCAGACUCCUACGGGAGGCAGCAGUGGGGAAUAUUGGACAAUGGGGGCAACCCUGAUCCAGCCAUGCCGCGUGUGUGAAGAAGGCCUCGGGUUGUAAGACACUUCUAGACGGAAC